rnacentral:rRNA from 1 species
UGACCUCGGAUCAGGUAGGACUACCCGCUGAACUUAAGCAUAUCAAUAAGCGGAGGAAAAGAAACCAACAGGGAUUGCCCCAGUAACGGCGAGUGAAGCGGCAACAGCUCAGAUUUGGAAUCUGGCCCCCAGGGCCCGAGUUGUAAUCUGGAGAGGAUGCUUCUGGCGCGGCGCCUUCCGAGUUCCCUGGAACGGGACGCCGGAGAGGGUGAGAGCCCCGUACGGUUGGACGCCUAGCCUUUGUAAAGCUCCUUCGACGAGUCGAGUAGUUUGGGAAUGCUGCUCAAAAUGGGAGGUAAAUUUCUUCUAAAGCUAAAUACCGGCCAGAGACCGAUAGCGCACAAGUAGAGUGAUCGAAAGAUGAAAAGCACUUUGAAAAGAGGGUCAAACAGUACGUGAAAUUGUUGAAAGGGAAGCGCCCGUGGCCAGACUUGUGCCCCGCGGACCACCCGGCGCCCUCAGCGCCGGUGCACUCCGCGGGGCGCAGGCCAGCAUCGGUUUUCCUAGGGGGAUAAAGGCGGCGGGAACGUGGCUCCUUCGGGAGUGUUAUAGCCCGUCGUGCCAUGCCCCUGGGGGGACCGAGGACCGCGCUUCGGCAAGGAUGCUGGCGUAAUGGCCACCGGCGACCCGUCUUGAAACACGGACC